ensembl:miRNA MIR202 microRNA mir-202
CGCCGUUCCGCCUUCCUAUGCAUAUACUUCUUUGAGGGUCUGGCCUGAAGAGGUGUAGGCAUGGGAAACCGGGGCGACGA